GCUGGAGGGGCCUCCCUCGCCCGCCUGUCUUCGCCGGCGCUGGUCUCCCGCACCCGGGUCUGCAGUCCCUCCGCCAUCUCGCAGGUGUGCAGCCGCUAGGCCUGGGGGAUCCGAAUGACUGGGGCUGGAUAGGAAUGCCUUCGUGUUUCCCAAGACCCCCGGGCCUGCUCCACAAAGUUUGAAGGAAGGAGGAGUUGAGGCGCCUUGAAUUUUCCUUCGCGAGUUUGGAGACUAGCCGAUUUUUCAUGAAGCAAGCAAAGACCGCGGUCCCGGAUCCGGCAACAUCUACCUCAUUCUCUCCAGGCCUCUCCACUUGCCCGAGCUCUCAGCCACCAGGAGACAGAAGGAAGGGACUUCUGGGCUGCGUUGGGAGCGGGCACUGUCCCCUAUCUACUCCUGCUCGGUUUCCCAAAGUCCAGCGACAUCCGACCCUCCUGGGGGGAAAAAUACCAGUACCCAGACACCUCUGCACCCUGUUAUAUGACUGGGCUUGCUUCAGGAAUAUCUUACAAAGAAGAAGAAGAAGAAGAAGAAAGAACAGCUUGGAGUCAUGUUUACAUCUAGUUCUACUGACCGGUUCCCAUCUGGAGAGUUUAUUUAUAACUCCCUCUAUAACUCUCUGUUUGGAGGCACUGGUGGCUCUAUUGACAGACUGAUGUCUAGGAAAUAUUGCUCUAUGUCUAACCGUACCUAAAUGUGCUGUGGUUGUAUUUACAGAUUUAUGUUUGAGGGAAAUAUAAUUAUUUCCAUUGUAUUUGUGCAUAUACAGUAGUUAUAGGAGCAGAUUUAUAUAUGGGAAAAUAUACGACUCUCUUACAGCCAUCCGGCUUUAUGUACAUGUGAUAUCCUGACAGAUUUAUAUCUCUGAACAGCUAUAUAGAUAAAAACGUAUAUUGUUAGAAUUAAAAAAAAAAAAA
rnacentral:lncRNA from 1 species